AUUGAACGCUGGCGGCAGGCCUAACACAUGCAAGUCGAACGAGUGGCGGACGGGUGAGUAAUGUCUGGGAAACUGCCUGAUGGAGGGGGAUAACUACUGGAAACGGUAGCUAAUACCGCAUACCAUCAGAUGUGCCCAGAUGGGAUUAGCUUGGUGGUGGGGUCACGGCUCACCAAGGCGACGAUCCCUAGCUGGUCUGAGAGGAUGACCGGCAACCCGGGAACUGAGCCACGGUCCAGACGCCGACGGGAGGCAGCAGUGGGGAAUAUGGCACAAUGGGCGCAAGCCUGGUGCAGCGAUGCCGCGUGUGUGACGAAGGCCUUCGGGUUGUAAAGUACUUUCAGCGGGGAGGCGUUACCCGCAGAAGAAGCACCGGCUAACUCCGUGCCAGCAGCCGCGGUAAUUC
rnacentral:rRNA from 1 species